GAUUCCAUAGUGUAGCAGUUAGCAUAUCUGCUUUAUAUGUAGAAAGUCUAGGUUCCAGCCCCAGUGGAGCCA
rnacentral:tRNA from 1 species